AGUGAUAUUUUUGAUUUUAUUCUUUUUUCAUUCCUUUUCUUUUCUUUUCUUUUCUCUUCAAUUU
rnacentral:ribozyme from 1 species